rnacentral:rRNA from 1 species
UACGGAGGAUGCAAGCGUUAUCCGGAAUGAUUGGGCGUAAAGCGUCCGCAGGUGGCUAUGUAAGUCUGCUGUUAAAGAGUGAGGCUCAACCUCAUAAGAGCAGUGGAAACUACAUGGCUAGAGUGCGUUCGGGGCAGAGGGAAUUCCUGGUGUAGCGGUGAAAUGCGUAGAGAUCAGGAAGAACACCAGCGGCGAAAGCGCGCUACUGGGCCAUUACUGACACUCAUGGACGAAAGCUAGGGGAGCGAAAGGG